AUAUAGGGAGAGUGUGAACUAAUAGUAGGAAUUGAAUUAAGGUCCUACAAGCUAGUUCAGAUUUUGUUUUAUCUUAUUUUGAGACCUAGUUUUCAAUUUGGUGUAUCUGAAUCUAAAUCAGUGAUUGCAUCCUAAAAGAAUAUGAUGCAAAUGGUGUAGUACUAUUGAGCUGUCUGAAAAAUUUCUGAAUAUAAUAUUCUAAUAUAUAAAUAAAUGUAUAUGAUAGAGCUUAUCAUUGAUUACUUCAGAGAUAGUCCAUGUUGAAUCAGCAGAAUCAAAAUCAUCAUCUGAGACAUCUUCCAGAUCCAAACAAUUGCUGUCUUGAAUAGCUCCAAAAAUCUCUUGUCAUAGCAUUUACCCAUCAGAUAUUCGACUAGGACUUACAUAUCAAUAAAAAAUUAGCAGUAGUGGAAAAGAUACCUUACAGCCAUGUUAUACUCAAAUGAGAAUGUAGGGUCCCAAAGGGUUUUAAUACUAUUCGAGUUCAAUUUAUAUUGUCUUUAGUAUUGGAACAAUUAAGACAUAUCUUCUAGGAAUGACCAUGAUUGUUUUUAAUUGAAUUUAUUAUGUACAUGAUGAAUAAAAAAUUAAGUAUGAACAAAUUGAACAUAAUUUGAAAUAACUGAUAUUUUAUAUAAUAAUCCAGAAUAUUCAUGUAUAGCUCCAAAAUAGAUAUUUAUUACAUUUUGUUUUAAUGAUAUAUAAUAUGGCUAUUCAUUGAUUUCUUUAGCUUUACUACCAUGCCUAUAACAUGUUCUAAACAAAAACAUAAUUACAAUAAAAUGAAGAAAUUACCAUUGACAGACACUUAUCUAGAAACUAAUGAGAGAAAUAGAAUUACUCAAAAUGAAUUUUUUGUGAAAUAUCUGAAUAAAUACAAUAAUCUUUUGCCAACUAGAGCUUUUAUAAAACACUUUAGGGCUUUACUGUAUAUCAAAAUUUUUAUUAAUAGUCUCAUUUAAUCAAAAUUCUGCAUUAUCUGAGAU
rnacentral:lncRNA from 1 species